UACGGAGGGUGCAAGCGUUAUCCGGAUUUACUGGGUUUAAAGGGUGCGUAGGUGGGUCUGUAAGUCAGUGGUGAAAUCUCCGAGCUUAACUCGGAAACUGCCAUUGAUACUAUAGAUCUUGAAUUAUCUGGAGGUGAGCGGAAUAUGUCAUGUAGCGGUGAAAUGCUUAGAUAUGACAUAGAACACCAAUUGCGAAGGCAGCUUGCUACCCGAAUAUUGACACUGAGGCACGAAAGCGUUGGGGAUCAAAACAG
rnacentral:rRNA from 1 species